rnacentral:rRNA from 1 species
AUUUGGUCUCGAGGGCAUGGUAGCAUGUGGAGACGUGGUCCUUUGGGGCCCGUGCUGUGCGUUGGUUUAGCCGACCUCACCCCGUGGGGUGGUGUUGGUGGGCCUCGCUGUUUGUUCGUGGUCGGCCUGGGGUGGGCCUAAGCCCCCUCGUGGUGCGGGCUGCGGCGAGGAAGUAAACUAUUGUGGACUCGUAUCGUGGGUGGCUUUUUCAGGCUGCAUUUGCCUGCGUGUGUGGAAGAUCGUGACUCCCAGUAAAGGAUAUCUUGGCUCUUGCGUCGAUGAAGAACAUUGUCAUAUGUGAUACGUCGUGUGAAUUACAGAAUUUUGUGAGUCAUCGUGUUUUUGAAUGCGAGCGGCACCCUUUUUCCUUGAGGAGGGGGCGCGUCUGGCUGGGUGUUGUGCGCUGGUGCCCGUGACGUGGUCGCGGGGAGUCGGUGGCCUCCCGUGGGAGUGUGCCCGCGGUUGGCUCAAAUGGGAGGCGAGUGGUCGCCUGGCUUCCCGGUGAAGAGGAGGUGAGCCUGCGGUAGCUGCCCAAUGCGUUGCUUCGGUUCAUUUUCAUCGGCAUGCCAGUUUUGAUUUUGGUGGGGGCGAUCCCCUGGAUGUGAAUUUCUAUCCUGCCAAGCCCCAGGUCAGACGGGGGCACCCGUUGAGUUUAAGCAUAUUAAUAAGCGGAGGAAUAGAAACUUACGAGUAUUCCCUUA